CACACAUGUAAACUCCUGACUUGGUCUCAGCUGACUGAAGCUCGGGCCGACCCUUGUGGCUUGACGAGCCACAUGGGCCAGCCCGUUUAAAAAUAAAAAAAAAAAUAAAAAGAGGAAAAAAUUUAAUCUACGACGGCCAUAAAGCUGCCGGUUAAGGCAGCUUGAUUGGCAGCUUCUUAUGGCUGUUUACCUUACCAGCAGCAUAAAGAAGUUGCAUGUUUGGCUGCCAAACAGGUAGCAAAGGGAAGGAAAAAAAAUUCGAGCAGGUUCGACAAGGCUUGAGCCGAAAGUUCGAGUCGAGCUUUAAUUUUUUAGCCGAACUUUUCUUUGACUCAACUUAGCCAAAAAAAGCUUGAUGUAAAAAAGCUCGAGCUGAGCUCGAGUCAUGAGUUUCGGCUUGCGAGCCAGCUCAACUCGACUUGUUGACAAUCUAGUUGGGAUCGACUAUUGGGAUAACUUAAGUGGUGAAUCGGAAAAAAUUUAAAAUUUACUGAGUAAUAUAAAAGUUUAUUGACAAUCAAAAUAUUUAGCCCUAAUUUAGUUAAUUUGAUUGAAUAAUUGAUAAAAAUUGCGGAUUCCAAUAUGAGAUUAAAAAUAAGUUUAAAAAUUUGUGGUUAAACAUGGGCUUUUUCCUUAACACCAUUUCAAUUUGAGUCGGUAUAUUGACCACUUUUUGGACUAGCUACUUGUAACUUUUAAGUCGAACUCUCCAUGUGUUCUUGCUAGUCUAUAGCCAAGUAAUUAUUCCCAAUUUGAUGGAGAUUUGCUAAAAAUAAAUUUUGUAAAAGAUAAUUAUUUGGAGAAAUCGUAGUUAAAAAGUAGAUAUAUUAUGAAUCCAAGUGUAAAAUUAUUUUAUUCGAAUAAUGUUUAAUUAAAAAUGAGUUUAAAAAAAAUAAAUUAGAAAUUGGAGUUCAUACUUGCCUGGAUCUUGUAAGUAAAUUUAACACAUACUUCCAAUAACAGACAAGUAUCACUCACUUAAAUCUAGCACACUCCGUCCUAAAAGUAUUUCAAUGCUCCAAGAUCAUUAAUCUCAAAUCCUCUUGCAAGGAAAUGCUUCUAAGUCUAAUUAUUCUACAUUAUUUUUGUUAAGAUUAUGCACUCAUAAAUAAUAAGAACGGUUAUCUUACUAUUACUUGAUCUUUUGUUGAAUAGUUAAUCAACCUGACUUUGACGAUAAACAUGACCUCCCAUAACUUCCAUGAAUAUAUCAAACCAUGUUAUGACUGUUUCAACCCGUAGAGAGAAUUUUUGUUUACAAACCUUUCCAACUCCUUAAAAACCUUUAAAACCAAGUGGCAGGUCCAUAAAAAAUAUUCCUCUAGAUCUUCACUUGAAAAGACAUUGUUUGCCUCUAAUUUUCGUAAUGGCCAACUCAAAUGUGCAGCAAGAGACAAUUAAACUCGUAUGUAAUUUAUCUUCGCCAUUGAAGCAGAAGUUUCUUGGUAACCAAUCCCAUAUAUUUGGGUAAAGCCCUUUUCUACGAGUUUUGCCUUGUAUCUCUCACCGUCACCAUUUGCCUUGUUUUUUAUUGCGAACACCCAUUUUCAACUUGAGGCCUUCUUUUCCCUUGGCAACUCAACAAUUAAUGUCCCAAGUUAAAUUUUUAUUGAGAGCUCUCAUCAGUCAUCUCUUCUAUAACUGCUGCCUUCUGUUUAGCAUGAUUCAGGCCUCUUGUUUAGUUUCAGGGAUUGAAACAAUUAGAGAUUAGUAGCAGAAGUUAUGGUUUUUCGUAUUAUCAAAUAUUUGAACAAUAAAAUAGAUGGCCAGUACCUGAUUGAAUUGGUCAGGUUAUAUAGGAUCAAGGUUCAUUUCUGUCGGUAUGUUAACACCAGAACUUCCUAAGUGCAAUUGGAGUAUUAAGAUCACUAGGAUUUAUCUGGAGAAUUUUCUGGACAAGUUGUAGGUUGGUACUUGUGCUCUUUAUUUUGCCCAAAGGGACUUAUUCUAUUUGAAUGAGACCAUAGGUUAACCGUGUAGAUAUAUUCGAUAUAGACUAAGGGAAGCACAUUCCAAAAACGAAAUCUUUGUGCUAGGUUUUCGAUAUUUGAGGGAAAAUGCCCA
rnacentral:lncRNA from 1 species